rnacentral:lncRNA from 1 species
UCCAAAUCAAGUAAUACUAAUUUCGAAGCUAAAAUUGGCUUGAUCUCAAUAUCAAUAUGGAUGUGCUUUUCAUGUAUGACAAUUGCUUUUCUGACUUCAAUACUUCCUAAAAACACAAGUAAAAUACUAAAAUACCCCCAGCGGUAGUUAACUGCCGCUGGGUUGUUUGGUCAUUUACUUGUGUUUCUAAGAUACAUUGAAUGUCAGAACAGCAAUUGUUUUCAUGUAUAUGUAAUAAACAGUGAAAAGCCUCAAACGACCAACUGAAAGCAAUGCUAUAUUUCGAAUUUGAUUUAAUCUAAACUAGAAUUGUGACAUAAAUGAGGGGGGAAACAACUGUACUGCAAAAAACUGUACUAAGCUCACUUCCAUUUGAGGGACUGCCUAAUGCCUGUAUAAAUGAGUCCUAAAGACCUGCCAAUCAAGCUAACCAAAAAGAAU